GAUGAACGCUAGCUACAGGCUUAACACAUGCAAGUCGAGGGGAAACGACAUCGAAAGCUUGCUUUGAUGGGCGUCGACCGGCGCACGGGUGAGUAACGCGUAUCCAACCUGCCCACCACCUGGGGAUAACCUUGCGAAAGUAAGACUAAUACCCAAUGAUAUCCCACGAAGGCAUCCGAAUGGGAUUAAAGAUCCGUCGCUUGCGGAUGGGGAUGCGUCUGAUUAGUUAGUCGGCGGGGUAACGGCCCACCGAGACGACGAUCAGUAGGGGUUCUGAGAGGAAAGUCCCCCACAUUGGAACUGAGACACGGUCCAAACUCCUACGGGAGGCAGCAGUGAGGAAUAUUGGUCAAUGGGCGGAAGCCUGAACCAGCCAAGUAGCGUGCAGGACGACGGCCCUAUGGGUUGUAAACUGCUUUUAUGCGGGGAUAAAGUGGGCCACGCGUGGCCUUUUGCAGGUACCGCAUGAAUAAGGACCGGCUAAUUCCGUG
rnacentral:rRNA from 1 species